UCUUCACUCUUCACUCACUGUACCUCUGCAUCUCGCCUCUCUUAAGCUCACAAACUAAGAAUUCUCUAGACACUCCUCACUAUACUUAAGCUAAGUUUAGUGAUUUACACUACGAAUUUUCCUUUGGAGAUCUACCUCUACUGCUUUAUUUAAAAAAAAAAAAAUGAGGGUUCUUUCCUAGCUAAUCUCUGAGAAGCAAUCCAGAAAUUCCAACUGUCUGAGUUGUUUUGUCAGGUAUAUUAGAUUGAAGAAGAUGAAUAUGGCCUACCAGAUCUGGAAAAUCCAAGACGCAGGGAUGAAGUUUUUCAAACUGUACCCAGAAUACAACGCAAAUACACUUCUCCUGGACACUUAAAGGGCUGGAGAUUUUGGGAGCGCAGAUGAGAUAUCUCAUAGAUUUAUAUAGACUGUAAUAGUCCAUUUAUAAAUUUGAAUAAUAUCUUGGAAAAAGAAGGCUGCUGGAGACGUUUCACUUCCCAAUUAAACAAUCAAGAACUGUUCUAUCGAAAAACUGAAUAUAUUAUACACAGCUGUAAAAUAUGCAUGUUUCUACAUUGAUGUCUGUAGGUAUAUUUAUGUAAAUUAUUUAUUCAUGGCACAGAUUCUAAUUAGAACUCUUCAAUGAGUAGAAGUCUAUUCAAUUU